rnacentral:rRNA from 1 species
GCCACGCCCGCUCAGAAACUUAAAGGAAUUGACGGGGGCCCGCACAAGCGGUGGAGUAUGUGGUUUAAUUCGAUGCAACGCGAAGAACCUUACCUGGUCUUGACAUCCCGGAGACCCUUAGGAAACUAGGGGGUGCUUCCAUCUGGAAGAAUCUGGAGACAGGUGCUGCAUGGCUGUCGUCAGCUCGUGUCGUGAGAUGUUGGGUUAAGUCCCGCAACGAGCGCAACCCUUGCCUUUAGUUGCCAGCAGUUCGGCUGGGCACUCUAAAGGGACUGCCGGUGUUAAACCGGAGGAAGGUGGGGAUGACGUCAAGUCCUCAUGGCCUUUAUGACCAGGGCUACACACGUACUACAAUGGCCGAUACAAAGGGCAGCGACACUGCGAGGUGAAGCCAAUCCCGUAAAAUCGGUCUCAGUCCGGAUUGGAGUCUGCAACUCGACUCCAUGAAGUUGGAAUCGCUAGUAAUCGUGGAUCAGCAUGCCACGGUGAAUACGUUCCCGGGCCUU